CAAACCUGCCUUAAGGAUGGGGAUAACAGACGGAAACGACUGCUAAUACCGAAUACGUUCUAAGCAUCGCAUGGUGCAUAGAAGAAAGGGUGGCCUCUACAAGAAAGCUAUCGCCUUAAGAGGGGUUUGCGACUGAUUAGGUAGUUGGUGAGGUAACGGCUCACCAAGCCGACGAUCAGUAGCCGGUCUGAGAGGAUGAGCGGCCACACUGGAACUGAGACACGGUCCAG
rnacentral:rRNA from 1 species